rfam:Lupinus angustifolius cultivar Tanjil chromosome LG01, whole genome shotgun sequence.
UUAAAGAAUCUGUUAAGCUCAGGAGGGAUAGCGCCAUGGAUGGUCUUCUCUUGCUCCAUUUAUUUGGUUUGCAUUUUAUUUUGAUCUUCUAUUGCGCUAUCCAUCCUGAGUUUCAUGGGUUUUUCAC